UGCAGGUUGUGGCGUCAUGGAUGAGAGGCGUGAUCUGAUUUAGGAUUCUAUACCCACGGCCAUUCUCCAUUCAUCCAUUUCCCCACCUCGGAUGCGGAGGCAACGUCCCCACACAUGUCCUCACUCCAGAAAGGCUUAGUAAGUCUGGCUCCCACUGCUUCAUCCGCUAUGAGGCCAUCGGGAGUGGAACUGCACUAUAGUUUGCCACACAGGCCCUGGCUUCCUGCUCUGACAAGCUCUAGAGUGGUUGCUUCCUUCCUAUUGGUCACAUUUGCCUGGGCUUGCCUCCACUCAUCAAGGAGGGGUGUCAUUCAUGCCACCUGGAGGAGGGCGGCCAUGCUGGGAUCCCUUCCACAGACACUUCGCCUUCGGAGGACACAGUCCUAGCUGCAUGACAGCAACAGCACAACUGCUGCUACAGCCAAGAAGGGUACCACGACAUACUAAGCAGAGAAGGGCGCUUAUGUCGGGGUCACCUCUGAAACCGCUCCACCUGCAAACAAGUCAAGAUAAGGAAGUCAUCAAGGUUCUCACAAACUUGGAAAAUGUGAGGAAAACAAAAUCGUCACAAUGAUAAAAGCAAAAUUCUCUGUAUCAAGCAGGGGUCUCUGGAGGAACAGAAUAAACACACGCAUUCAUAUGUGUGUGUGUAACGAUGAUUCUGUGGAAUGGAGGUGAUGUCCACGAAGUCUCAGGUUUCAUCCUCAGCACUGCAAAAGCAAACCAAAACCAACAGCACAUCUUGAUGGGGGUGACAGAAAUGAAUGCCACCAUCAAAGACUUGAAAGAUGCAGGGGUGGCGGUCCUUACACCUCCCUUUAACUCUCCCAUUUGAUCUGUGCAGAAGACAGAUCAUGAAGAACGGCAGUUGAAUAUCACAAACCUAACCAAGCAAAGAUUCCAGCUGUAAUUGCUGUUAGAUGUGAGUGUUCUCAUUUGCACAAAUUAACACAUCUCCUGGCACUGAGGAUGCAGGUAGUGAAGUGACCUAGAAGAUGCUUUCUCUUAGCUCAUGUACAUGAGGACCGCUAGACUGCUUUCAUCUAACAAGGCCAGUAGUACACCUUUACAGACAUUCCUCAAAGGUAUAUUGAUUCUCUAGCCUCGUUCAAAGCGAUCUUGAUCACAUUUUCCUUCCACAAAAUGGUCCUCUAUAUUGGCAACAUUAUGCUGUUUGAGUCAAGUAAGCAGAGGGUAGCAACCACUUUGAACUCAUUGGUAACAUAUGCAAAUCAGAGGAUGGGAAAUAAAUCCAAACAAAACUCAAGGGUCUUCUACCUUAGUGAAUUUUUUAGGAGUCCAGUGUGGGGCACGCAGAGACAUUCCUUCUAAGGCGAAGGGUAAGUAACUGCACCUG